AAGCAGGAAACUCAGUGGCAUUUCCGACUGAUUCAGUAUGCACACGGCGAAAAGCCCCGCGGCCAGUCAGCGAUAAGGGGAGAGGGGAAAUGACUUGCAGGAGUCGCAGAUGACUGAGUGAUGAGAUCAUUAAGUGCAUCGCGAUGAGAAAGUCAGUUGAGAAAGUCAGUUGCUAGAGAAAGUAUUUUUCAGCCUUUGGUGAUGUUUUUUUGUUGUUGUCGCGUUCUGGUUUUUGUAGCAUGUAACUGCGGAGUGUCGCGCCAUGGAAAGGUGUCUGCAACCCCGGGCUCCCUCCUGCACGACUCUUGGCGUUUGCAACAGCAAGGGACGGAGGAAGAAAACUCGAGUCCGGAGACAGACAACCACAAGAAGCUGAAAUCGCCAUGGUGAAGAUGAUUGACAAGGUGAAGAUGAUUGACAAAGUGGAGAUGAUUGACAUUGGUCAUCCAUUCUUCUACCGAAUGGAUCCAAUGACCUAAUGAUGAUCAUGAUGAAGAUUCUGGAGAUUCUUCCACGCAGCAAAGUCAGCCACGUGUAUCCUCUAUAUCUGCGACCCAGUCCCUCGAU